rnacentral:rRNA from 1 species
UACGUAGGGGGCUAGCGUUGUCCGGAAUCAUUGGGCGUAAAGCGCGUGUAGGCGGUCCGGUAAGUCCGCUGUGAAAGUCGGGGGCUCAACCCUCGGAUGCCGGUGGAUACUGUCGGGCUUGAGUACGGAAGAGGCGAGUGGAAUUCCCGGUGUAGCGGUGAAAUGCGCAGAUAUCGGGAGGAACACCAAUUGCGAAGGCAGCUCGCUGGGACGGUACUGACACUGAGGCACGAAAGCGUGGGGAGCAAACAGG